GAAAGGAAACCCGCAGCUAAUGGCUCGGCAGUGAUGCGCCAGGUGUGGGCCUCGCUCGAUUGGGGAGGAGAGUGUGAAAACAGACAGAGAGACACACACACUGAGAGAGGGAGACACCCAGGCAGAGGGGAUGCAAAUGGAAUUCCGCAGAAAGAAAAGAGAGCUUAACGCGCGCGGCGAGUUCCGCAGGGGCAGCGGGACUCGAUGGCCUUAAGUUUUCCACAGCCUGGCUUCAUCUUGAGAUGGCUAUUCGUACAAGAAGUCGCUUUCCCGUUUGCCUGGACC
rnacentral:lncRNA from 1 species